AAAGAAUUAGUUAAAUUUAACAUUAAAUUGUCAUUUUAAAAUUAUUAUAUUACUAAAUAAUAUUCUUUU
rnacentral:tRNA from 1 species